GAUGAACGCUGGCGGCGUGCCUAAUACAUGCAAGUCGAGCGAACAGACGAGGAGCUUGCUCCUCUGACGUUAGCGGCGGACGGGUGAGUAACACGUGGAUAACCCACCUAUAAGACUGGGAUAACUUCGGGAAACCGGAGCUAAUACCGGAUAAUAUAUUGAACAGCAUGGUUCAAUAGUGAAAGACGGUUUUGCUGUCACUUAUAGAUGGAUCCGCGCCGCAUUAGCUAGUUGGUAAGGUAACGGCUUACCAAGGCAACGAUGCGUAGCCGGCCUGAGAGGGUGAUCAGCCACACUGGAACUGAGACACGGUCCAGACUCCUACGGGAGGCAGCAGUAGGGAAUCUUGCACAAUGGGCGAAAGCCUGACGGAGCAACGCCGCGUGUGUGAUGAAGGUCUUCGGAUCGUAAAACUCUGUUAUUAGGGAAGAACAAAUGUGUAAGUAACUAUGCACGUCUUGACGGUACCUAAUCAGAAAGCCACGGCUAACCACGUG
rnacentral:rRNA from 1 species